GUCGAAUACGUGUGGCCCGCCAGAGCGAAAUCGAGUGAUGUGGAGAAAAAAGACGUCCGCGGAAAAUGAGGGAUGGCGGCGGCAAAAAUCAAAAUAAAAUAAUUAUAUUAUUAUGUAUAGAUAGUAACAACUAUACUCUCGUACGUAUUGUGACGGCGAGAAAUGGACGGCGGCGGACGUGGCGGCAGCGGACGCGGUGGCGGACAGUAGAAGAGGACGAUACGACAACGACGACUACGACGACGAUGAUUACGGUGACGCGCGCGCGGCGGUAUAUACGACGGUGUCGUCGGUUCCAAAUCAAAUGAUGGCCCUGCGUAAUUCAAUAACUGGCCGUCGCGUAGAAAAGUGCGAAUAACCCACCCCCUUUAUUCGGGCGGCGGCGCGCGGCGUGCCGGUCACCGCCGCCGCCGGAGGGGCGCAUACGGCGACGGCGGCAGCGGUGACUUUGCGGCCCCCGGGUUGGGCGGGGCAUGCCCGGCCGACACCCUCGCCCCCGCAGCGCCAUUGGUCUCGCGGCGCGCGCGCAACCCCUCGCCCACCGCCGCCGCAAUCCACCCCCGCGGGCUUCGCAACCACGACCACCACUCGGCUAAAGGUGCGCGUGUGCGGGGCACGACGUACGCCCGUUUUUUCUUCGUAUUUUUUUUCGCUAGCGCUCGCGA